GGGACAACAGUUGGAAACGACUGCUAAUACCGCAUAAGCGCACAGCUUCGCAUGAAGCAGUGUGAAAAACUCCGGUGGUACAAGAUGGACCCGCGUCUGAUUAGCUGGUUGGUGAGGUAACGGCCCACCAAGGCGACGAUCAGUAGCCGGCCUGAGAGGGUGAACGGCCACAUUGGGACUGAGACACGGCCCAAACUCCUACGGGAGGCAGCAGUGGGGAAUAUUGCACAAUGGGGGAAACCCUGAUGCAGCAACGCCGCGUGAGUGAAGAAGUAUUUCGGUAUGUAAAGCUCUAUCAGCAGGAAAGAAAAUGACGGUACCUGACUAAGAAGCCCCGGCUAACUACGUGCCAGCAGCCGCGGUAAUACGUAGGGGGCAAGCGUUAUCCGGAUUUACUGGGUGUAAAGGGAGCGUAGACGGUUUUGCAAGUCUGAAGUGAAAGCCCGGGGCUUAACCCCGGGACUGCUUUGGAAACUGUAGAACUAGAGUGCAGGAGAGGUAAGUGGAAUUCCUAGUGUAGCGGUGAAAUGCGUAGAUAUUAGGAGGAACACCAGUGGCGAAGGCGGCUUACUGGACUGUAACUGACGUUGAGGCUCGAAAGCGUGGGGAGCAAACAGGAUUAGAUACCCUGGUAGUCCACGCCGUAAACGAUGAUUACGAGGUGUUGGUGGGUACGACCCAUCGGUGCCGCAG
rnacentral:rRNA from 1 species